rnacentral:lncRNA from 1 species
CCACCAAGGAUGACCACUGACCAACAACCACGAUCACUGACCACCACCGAUUAUCACUGACCACAAGUGAUGACCACUGACCAACGAUGACCACCAAGGAUGACCACUGACCACCCCACGGUGACCAAAGCCACCUCCAGCCGCGUCUUGCUGACCACUGACCACCUGUGGUCACUCCGUGGUGACCACUGACCACCUGUGGUCACCCCCAGGCCACUUUUGACCAUCCCAAGGCCACCCCCAAAGUGACCAGUGGUCAUUCUUGGUCACCUCAAAGUGACCACUGGUCACUCUUGGCCAUCCCUGACCACCCCAAAGUGACCACUGGUCACUCUUGGCCUCCCCUGACCACCCAAAAAUGACCCCAGACCACCCUGAAGUGACCACUGGUCACUCCUGGUCACCCCAGGCCACCCUUGACCACCCCAAAGUGACCACUGGUCACUCCUGGCCACCCCAAAGUGACCCCAGGCCACCUCAAAGUGACCACUGGUCACUCAUGGUCAGUCCUGGUCACUCUAAGGUCACCCCAAAGUGACCACUGGUCACUCCUGGUCACCCCAGGCCACCCUUGACCACCCCAAAGUGACCCCAGGCCACCCUAAAGUGACCACUGGUCACUCCUGG